UGGUUGAUCCUGCCAGUAGCAUAUGCUUGUCUCAAAGAUUAAGCCAUGCAUGUCUAAGUACAAGCCGCUAGUCGGCGAAACCGCGAAUGGCUCAAUAAAUCAGUUAUGGUUCCUUAGAUCUUUCCAUCCUACUUGGAUAACUGUGGUAAUUCUAGAGCUAAUACAUGCACUACAAGCCCCGACUCGCCGGCGUCAAAACCGGCCGUAGAAGGGGUGCUUUUAUUAGGUCAAAACCAAUCGGGCCCUUCGCGGGGGCCGUUCCAUUUGGUGACUCUGAAUAACUUUCGCUGAUCGCACGGNCUUCGCGCCGGCGACGCAUCUUUCAAAUGUCUGCCUUAUCAAUNUUCGAUGGUAGGUUAUGCGCCUNCCAUGNUUGCAACGGNUAACGGGGAAUCGGGGNUCGAUUCCGGAGAGGGAGCCUGAGAAACGGCUACCACAUCCAAGGAAGGCAGCAGGCGCGCAAAUUACCCACUCCCGGCACGGGGAGGUAGUGACGAAAAAUAACGAUACGGGACUCUUCCGAGGCCCCGUGGUUGGAAUGAGUACACUUUAAAUCCUUUAACGAGGACCUAUUGGAGGGCAAGUCUGGUGCCAGCAGCCGCGGUAACUCCAGCUCCAAUAGCGUAUAUUAAAGUUGUUGCGGUUAAAAAGCUCGUAGUUGGAUUCCUGUCUUCGGCCGGGCGGUGCCGCCUGAUAAUCAAGGGCGAUCGCACUGCCUUGGGAGCGUUGGUGUCAAAGCCGCGCACUUUUAACGGUCGGACAAUACCACCNGAGUGGNGGGUGANAGAUCGUCUCCUCUCCCGGGGAGGCGGUCGAAGAACCACCCCUAAUCGUCCGAGGUGCCUUUAACNGGGUGUCUCGGGCGGCCGGUAACGUUUACUUUGAACAAAUUAGAGUGCUCACAGCAGGUGCAUACCUUCGCCUGAAUAUCACAGCAUGGAAUGAUGGAAUAGGACCUCGGUCUUAUUUUGUUGGUUUUCUCUAGACCCGAGGUAAUGGUUAAUAGAGACAGACGGGGGCAUUCGUACUCCGACGCUAGAGGUGAAAUUCUUGGACCGUCGCAAGACGANCGACUGCGAAAGCAUUUNCCAAGAAUGUUUUCAUUAAUCAAGANCGAAAGUUAGAGGUUCGAAGGCGAUCAGAUACCGCCCUAGUUCUAACCAUAAACGAUGCCAACCAGCGAUCCGCCGAAGUUACUCCCAUGACUCGGCGGGCAGCUUCCGGGAAACCAAAUCUUUGGGUUCCGGGGGAAGAAUNNNNNNNNNNNNNNNNNNNNNNNNNNNNNNNNNNNNNNNNNNNNNNNNNNNNNNNNNNNNNNNNNNNNNNNNNGGUGGAGCGAUUUGUCUGGUUAAUUCCGAUAACGAACGAGACUCUAUCCUGCUAAAUAGGUGGCGGGUUUUAUUAAAAAAUUUGGGUUCGGAGUUCCCCGGGACCAGGGUGUUGUGUCGGUGGCCCGUGUCACGGGGUCUCGGGAGACGGGGGGUGUUUGAAUGGGAUGCUUGGCGGCUUUCGGGCCNUCGUGUGUCUUUAAUUCGGACCUCACAUCCGGGCCUUUGAUUCGGUGGCGCGGUCGGUCGGCGCUCCCCGGCGGUUCGCUUCGUUCUCGCGUCCGUCACAACUCUUCUUAGAGGGACAANCGGCGUCCAACCGCGUGACAGUGAGCAAUAACAGGUCUGUGAUGCCCUUAGAUGUCCUGGACCGCACGCGCGCUACACUGAAGGAAUCAGCGUGUUUUUCUCCCCCUGUCCGAAAGGACCGGGUAACCGCUGAACCUCCUUCGUGGUUGGGAUUGGGGACUACAAUGAUCCCCAUGAACCAGGAAUCCCUAGUAGGCGCGAGUCACUAGCUCGCGUCGAUUACGUCCCUGCCCUUUGUACACACCGCCCGUCGCUACUACCGAUUGAAUGAUUUAGUGAGGCCUUCGGACGGGCUCGUCGGGGGUUCGGGUCGUCGGGGAGCAAUCUCCGGCUUCUCGGCUCUAAUAACGGCGAGACUGAAAGAUGUCCGAACUUGAUCCUUUAGAGGAAGUAAAAGUCGUAACAAGGUUUCCGUAGGUGAACCUGCGGAAGGAUCAUU
rnacentral:rRNA from 1 species